rnacentral:misc_RNA from 1 species
UGUGGGAGCGGGCUUGCCCGCGAUGAGGCCAUCACAUCCAACAUCAUCGUUGACUGUGAGGUUGCUAUCGCGGGCAAGCCCGCUCCCACA